AAUGAACGCUGGCGGCAUGCCUAAUACAUGCAAGUCGAACGAGAGGAAGGAAAGCUUGCUUUUCUGAAUCUAGUGGCGAACGGGUGAGUAACACGUAGGUAACCUGCCCAUGUGCCCGGGAUAACUUCUGGAAACGGAUGCUAAAACCGGAUAGGUAGCAGACAAGCAUUUGACUGCUAUUAAAGUGGCUAAGGCCAUGAACAUGGAUGGACCUGCGGUGCAUUAGCUAGUUGGUGAGGUAACGGCCCACCAAGGCGACGAUGCAUAGCCGGCCUGGGAGGGCGGACGGCCACAUUGGGACUGAGACACGGCCCAAACUCCUACGGGAGGCAGCAGUAGGGAAUUUUCGUCAAUGGGGGGAACCCUGAACGAGCAAUGCCGCGUGAGUGAGGAAGGUCUUCGGAUCGUAAAGCUCUGUUGUAAGAGAAAAACGACACUCAUAGGGAAUGAUGAGUGAGUGAUGGUAUCUUACCAGAAAGUCACGGCUAACUACGUGCCAGCCGCCGCAGUAA
rnacentral:rRNA from 1 species